rnacentral:rRNA from 1 species
ACUACGGGAGGCAGCAGUGGGGAAUAUUGGACGAUGGGGGAAACCCUGAUCCAGCGACGCCGCGUGAGUGAAGAAGUAUUUCGGUACGUAAAGCUCUAUCAGCAGGAAAGAAAAUGACGGUACCUGACUCAGAAGCCCCGGCUAACUACGUGCCAGCAGCCGCGGUAAUACGUAGGGGGCAAGCGUUAUCCGGAUUUACUGGGUGUAAAGGGAGCGUAGACGGCAGCGCAAGUCUGGAGUGAAAUGCCGGGGCCCAACCCCGGAACUGCUCUGGAAACUGUGAAGCUGGAGUGCAGGAGAGGUAAGCGGAAUUCCUGGUGUAGCGGUGAAAUGCGUAGAUAUCAGGAGGAACACCGGCGGCGAAGGCGGCUUACUGGACUGUAACUGACGUUGAGGCUCGAAGGCGUGGGGAGCAAACAGGAUUAGAUACCCGAGUAGUC